rnacentral:rRNA from 1 species
UAGGGAAUUUUGGGCAAUGGGCGAAAGCCUGACCCAGCAACGCCGCGUGUGGGAUGAAGGCCCUCGGGUCGUAAACCACUGUCAGGAGGAAAGAAAAGUCGGCCGGAUAAUACUCGGUCGACCUGACGGUACCUCCAAAGGAAGCACCGGCUAACUCCGUGCCAGCAGCCGCGGUAAUACGGAGGGUGCAAGCGUUGUUCGGAAUUACUGGGCGUAAAGCGCGUGUAGGUGGUCGAGUAAGUCGAAUGUGAAAGCCCCGGGCUCAACCCGGGAAGUGCAUCCGAAACUGCUCGACUAGAGUCCCGGAGAGGAAGGCAGAAUUCCCAAUGUAGGGGUGAAAUCCGUAGAUAUUGGGAGGAAUACCGGUGGCGAAGGCGGCCCACUGGGUCACAUCUGACGCUGAGGUGCGAAAGCUAGGGGAUCAAACGGGAUUAGAUACCCAAGUAGUCCCUGAGCGGGCUGGCAAGGCGCAU